rnacentral:rRNA from 1 species
UACGUAGGGGCGCGAGCGUUUGUCCGGAAUUAUUGGGCGUAAAGAGCUCGUAGGCGGCCUGUUGCGUCCGCUGUGAAAUCCCGGGGCUCAACCCUGGGCGUGCAGUGGAUACGGGCAGGCUGGAGGCAGGCAGGGGAGAACGGAAUUCCCGGUGUAGCGGUGAAAUGCGCAGAUAUCGGGAGGAACACCGGUGGCGAAGGCAGUGGUCUGGGCCGAUACUGACGCUGAGGAGCGAAAGCGUGGGGAGCGAACAGG